UUUGCCCUACGGGGGGCAGCAGUAGGGAAUAUUGCUCAAUGGGGGAAACCCUGAAGCAGCAACGCCGCGUGGAGGAUGAAGGUUUUAGGAUUGUAAACUCCUUUUGUAAGAGAAGAUUAUGACGGUAUCUUACGAAUAAGCACCGGCUAACUCCGUGCCAGCAGCCGCGGUAAUACGGAGGGUGCAAGCGUUACUCGGAAUCAAUGGGCGUAAAGGGCGCGUAGGCGGGUGGUCAAGUCAGAUGUGAAAUCCUGUAGCUUAAAUCCAGAAAUGCAUUUGAAACUGAUCAUCUAGAGUAUGGGAGA
rnacentral:rRNA from 1 species